AUUGAACGCUGGCGGCGUGCUUAACACACGCAAGUCGAUCGGUAACAGGUGUAGCAAUACAUGCUGACGAGAGGCGGACGGGUGAGGAACGCUUGGGAAUCUGCCUAUCAGCGGGGGACAACCCGGGGAAACCCGGGCUAAUACCGCAUACGCUCUACGGAGGAAAGCCGGGGACCGCAAGGCCUGGCACUGAUAGAGGAGCCCAAGUCGGAUUAGCUAGGUGGCGGGGUAACGGCCAACCAAGGCGACGAUCCGUAGCUGGUCUGAGAGGACGAUCAGCCACACCGGAACUGAGACACGGUCCGGACUCCUACGGGAGGCAGCAGUGGGGAAUAUUGGACAAUGGGCGAAAGCCUGAUCCAGCGACGCCGCGUGGGUGAAGAAGGCCUGCGGGUUGUAAAGCCCUUUCGGUAGGGACGAAAGCUCUCGACCUAACACGUCGGGAGGUUGACUUAACCUACAAAAGAAGCACCGGCUAACUCUGUGCCAGCCGCCGCGGUAA
rnacentral:rRNA from 1 species